GAUGAACGCUAGCGGCAGGCUUAACACAUGCAAGUCGAGGGGUAUAGUUCUUCGGAAUUAGAGACCGGCGCACGGGUGCGUAACGCGUAUGCAAUCUACCUUUCACAGAGGGAUAGCCCCAGAGAAAUUUGGAUUAAUACCUCAUAGUAUAGCAGUUUCGCAUGAAACCACUAUUAAAGUCACAACGGUGAAAGAUGAGCAUGCGUCCAUUAGCUAGUUGGUAAGGUAACGGCUUACCAAGGCAACGAUGGGUAGGGGUCCUGAGAGGGAGAUCCCCCACACUGGUACUGAGACACGGACCAGACUCCUACGGGAGGCAGCAGUGAGGAAUAUUGGACAAUGGGCGCAAGCCUGAUCCAGCCAUGCCGCGUGCAGGAUGACGGUCCUANGGAUGUAAACUGCUUU
rnacentral:rRNA from 1 species